CAGCCGCCACGGUAAGACAGAGGUCCCGAGCGUUGUUCGGAUUCAUUGGGCGUAAAGGGUGUGUAGGAGGCCAGGUAAGUCAGGUGUGAAAUCUCAGAGCUUAACUCUGAAACUGCGCUUGAUACUGCUUGGCUAGAGGAUCGGAGGGGGAAGCGGAAUUCUUGGUGUAGCGGUGAAAUGCGUAGAUAUCAAGAGGAACACCGGUGGCGAAGGCGGCUUCCUGGAAGAUACCUGACUCUGAAACACGAAAGCCAGGGGAGCGAAUGGGAUUAGAGACCCCCGUAGUCCCUGUCUCUUAUAC
rnacentral:rRNA from 1 species